rnacentral:rRNA from 1 species
GGUGGAAGAAGAAGCGGAAGAGGAAGAGGAACCAGUUUGGCGGAAAGCGAGAAGAGAAGAGAUAGGGGGAAUUUUUUCAUCGCCGUGGGCCUCGCCUCUUGGUUGGGUCCACGCCCGACCCUUAGCUCCGCCCCCGUGGAGGUGUUAGAGAGAGAGGGGGAGAGAGGAGACGAAGAAAGCCACACAAGGAGCAAAAGGCCCUCCCCGGCCCCUCAACAAGAACCGGUGACCUCAGCCAGGUCUCGUCUGGAUGGGAGCAGGCAGACGCGGGCCGUUCUAGAAACAAAGGGGGGCAAGCGCCGCCGAGGAGGGAGGGAAGAACCAACCACCCUGCCCCUUUUUUCCUAGCUCUGCCGGUGUGGGGACGGGCCUUAAGUGGUGAGAGACGUCCCUUAAAAAUCCAAAGAAGAGGCAGUGGCCGCCUGUGUACUAGACUUGGGGAGGCGCGGUGAGGCAGGUAGGCGGAAGAUGAAACCCCCUCCUCUUCUCCCUAGUUAGCAGGCCAUAGCCUCGACUCCUUCUAAAGAACGAGUGUACCGGCCGUGGCCGCUAGCACCUAGGGAGUACCUCCUGACCUACCGGUACGGGGGCUGUGGGUCGGGCUCUUGCGAGUACAGUUCGAAGAACUUACUUCUGAAGCCGAGACCAGUUAAGAGGUUAAAAAAGCCGCUUGUACACUCGUUGUUCGGGGUGCUAGUUAGUCUCUUCUCUCCUCUCGAACACCUAAACUCCCUCGUUCACGGACGAGUCAGUCUAUGUCGAUGUCGAUGUGGGGUUUUCCUAAAAAGGGACGUUGGUUUAAACAAGGUACGAUUGGUCUUUAGUUUGGGUGUCCCUAGAGACCGGCUCGCGUCCCGAAGGUCUCGACCAAAGUCAUAGGGGUUCUAACUAUGUAGAGCACACCCAAGUAGGUGUCAAUAAGCUAGUGGGUAUCGUUAAGGUGGACCAGAAUCAGGUUGAUGAGAAGAACUCAGUGGCCAAAAAGAGAUGUUACGAUACCGUGUCGGAAGUGGUUGGUGACCGUUUGACAAGCAACGAAGUCUCCGAUUGAGUUGUUACGGUGGUCUAUCGUGUAAGUCAUUGCUACAAAAGAGGAAGGUUGGGGUGAGACCCGGUUGUUCAAUGAGUUUACACCUUUUCCCAAUGUUACAAUCGGUGGUUUUGGUCAACAACAGUUUAUAAGUAGUCGUCCCUAGGUCAGAAGUCAGUUCGAAAUGACGUCAGUUCCUGUCACGGCUGCUUUGUUAACAGUUUGGCUUCUGCAGACUGAGACACAAGUCACAAUUAGUGAGAAGACUUCUUGUCCUUCUACUGCUCCCUCUGGUUUUACUCCUUAUGAGAAGACGGUGUUUAUCGUUGGGUCGACUUCUACCUAUAUUGACCUCUUUUAUACCUGUCUUCGUUCAAUUCUCGUCACUCGUAGGUUCCUCGAUAAUGUUCACGUGUGUGGGGCUAACGGGACAGUUCUUUUUCCACCUUGCGAGAGUUCUACCAGUCUAUUGUCUCUAUCAGAUGUUCUCAAGAGUGUUAGUGGGAAACGGCGGAGGUUUGGCGGCGAGUCCAUAGGGAAACAGCGUUUAGUUACUAGUUGUUCAGGUACAAGAUCUCUUUGGACCAAGCGUGUGUCCCGAGUUGUGACGUAGAAACACCCUUUUACCAUUUUCACUCACGUAAGUUCUAUACGUUCCACAACUCCCUUCUGGUCGACGACCGGGAGGACAUAGACGUAUACCACUAUGUAGAUAGUACCUCAGGGUUCUACGUCGACUACAGAGCAGUUGCGACAGGUUACUCUAACUAUCUCGUUGUGUUCCGUGGUAAAGAAAUCUGACACUACAUCCACUUCUACUCUGACUUAGGUUUUCUUCCUUCGACCUACGAAAUCGAUCACAAUGAUAAGGAUGACGCUGGUGGUGGUCAAGUUAACUGUACCACCGACGUCGUAGUUCUCGACAGGCCCUCGGAGCACAACACCAAGUCUGUUGUUCGCUCCAACUGUAGGAACUGCUACCAAUAGCGACCGCGUUCAUACCAGUCUUCCAACAAUUUCCUUUGGGUUUAGGUUCCUCGAUGAUGUUUACAUGGGUGGUCCCGACAAGCCACGCGUUCGUGCACCUCUCUCGCAGCGUGCUAGACUUUAGGCACUAGUGCUGUAUGCUCCCCUUCGUGUUGGUACUUCAAGGUCGUCGGUCUUUAUCGCCCUUGCGCCCGAGACCAAGGCAGUCACGAGGUCGUAGUCGCGGUGUCCGGUUAGAGAGUGUGGCGUCCGUUCUUGUUCGCGUUCCGUCGAUAGGAGUCAAACCACCGCGCUGAGGGAAGCCAAGGAAGCCGGAGGGCGGCUCUCCGGUAGACCCUCGCCGUCCGUUGAAGGUGAAGCCCUACCGGGGAAGUCCGUACAGCUACGGCGGCUACGGGCGGCGGGCAGUAGGAGGUAGUUACUACGUCCCGAUGGGCCCCGAGUACUACGUCCUUCCCGUCUACUUCCGCCUCGGUCUGGUCGUCAGGCCCAAGCGUCGCAGUAGCCGAAUGGUUGUCUACUACCCGUCCGGGGGGAAACCAGGGGUCUACAUUUAUUAUCCUACGUUUCUUUCCUUUCUAUCUACACGAGGCCGAACGGACAUAUGUACCAUCUUAACGAUGUCGUACGUAUCGAAGCAAGAUCAAAGAGAACCAGUGGUAAAAAAAAAUUAGAGCACCCGUAAAAAACAUUCGUCUCUUACGUCUCCUGCCAAGAGUAUAGAAAGUCAACGAACCUUAGUCUUUCUUUUCCCUAUCGAAGAUUCUGUUAACCCGUAACCAAUUUAGUUAGUUUUGGGGAGUCCCAUACUCCCACUCGACGAUGAUGUGGACCACAAAAAAGCAUGAGGGAGGCAAUGUUUUAUUCACAGCACCAAAAUCAAGUUUGGCAAGAUUGAAACUUUAUUUUGGUGCUGUAAAUAAAACUUUGUCUGCCUCAACCAAAGAAGACUUUCUUUGUAACCAACGGUAAGAUUGCGAGACACGCAAUUUAGUUAGUUUUAGGGAGUACAAUACUCCCAAUCGUCGUCGAGGAUACCAACAGUUCACGAUGGUGAUGUGGACCACGAAAAAGCAUGAGAAACAAAGUUUUAUUUACAACACUGAAGUCAAGUUUAACAAAGUUUUAUUCACAGUAACAAAAUCAAGUUUAAAUU